CCUACGGGAGGCAGCAGUGAGGAAUAUUGGUCAAUGGGCUUACACCUGAACCAGCCAAGUCGCGUGAGGGAAGACUGCCCUAUGGGUUGUAAACCUCUUUUGUCAGGGAGCAACGCCGGCUACGUGUAGCCGGACUGAGAGUACCUGAAGAAAAAGCAUCGGCUAACUCCGUGCCAGCAGCCGCGGUAAUACGGAGGAUGCGAGCGUUAUCCGGAUUUAUUGGGUUUAAAGGGUGCGUAGGCGGAAUGCCAAGUCAGCGGUAAAAUCGCGGGGCUCAACCUCGCUCCGCCGUUGAAACUGGCGUUCUUGAGUGGGCGAGAAGUAUGCGGAAUGCGUGGUGUAGCGGUGAAAUGCAUAGAUAUCACGCAGAACUCCGAUUGCGAAGGCAGCAUACCGGCGCCCAACUGACGCUGAAGCACGAAAGCGUGGGGAUCGAACAGGAUUAGAUACCCGAGUAGUC
rnacentral:rRNA from 1 species